CAUGAACAGUCUCCUACAUUCACUGUUUGUUUCUGCAAAGGAUGGCCUUUCAAAGGCCAGCUCGGAUUGUUUGGAAACUGUGUUGUACAAUGCAAAACUUCUGCGAGUGUUGGACUUAGAAAAUACAAAACUUAAGACCUUGCCUGAUGAAGUAGGGAAAUUGGUGAACCUAAGGUAUCUGGGUGUGAGGCAUUCCCAAAUAAAUGAGCUUCCUGAGAGCAUCAGAAAUCUUCGGAACCUACAAACCUUGGAUAUCUCCUGCUCUGGGAAUGAAUUUGAGCUGUCAAACGGAGUUUUGAAUCUUGCACAACUGAGGCACCUGAAGAUGUGCCGUACUGUGAAUAAUGGUGAGGUUAGAGUUCCACGAGGUAUCUCAAGACUCAGAAACCUCCAGACUCUAGAAGGUAUAUACGCAGGUGGUGGCAUUGCCAAGGAGUUAGGCAACAUGACACAACUCAGAUCACUCGACGUGAGAAGUGUAUCAGAUGAUCAUGCAGAUGAGCUAUAUGCUUCUGUCACGAAGUUAACUGGGCUUAGGAACUUGUCUCUUACUGCAGAGUGGAAUGGGAUCGCAUACGACUCCAGCAGCCCACUUCCGUAUGAGAAUUCGCUUUUCCCCUGCUUAGAAUCCUUCUCACCUCCGCCACUACUUGAAACACUUGAGCUAAAAGGGUGUUUAACAGAGAUGCCGCUUUGGCUUGGCUCAAUGGAGAACCUCACUCGGUUAGUUAUGGCCUCCUCCCAUUUGUCUGAGAACCCAACUACGAUUUUGCAGUUCCUUCCCAACUUGAAAUAUCUUUCAAUGUUCCAUGCUUACAAAGGAAAGCGUAUGGAAAGAGAGUUCUUCAGAGCUGGCGGUUUCCCAAAAUUGGAGUAUCUCAAAAUUGUUUCUCGUAAUCUGGUGGAAUGGACAGAGAUGGAAGAGGGAGCAUUGCCUUGCUUAAAACAACUCUAUUUUUGGAACUGCAUGAGACUGAUGGGUCUUCCUGAAGGAUUGCAACAUGUGGCCACACUCCAAAAAUUGGUUUUGUUUAAUGUGCAUGGAGAUCUUACUCGGAGGUUGAACCCCAAUGGAGGUCCACAGAAUUAUAAGAUAAAGCACAUCCCACUGGUAGAAUCUUAUGUGCACUUGUGUGGCUGGAUGGUUUGGAAGACAUAGCCUCACCAGAAUAUCCUCAACGUAUAAUGAUGAUUGUUUUAAGAACACUCCUCCUCCCAUCUACCCCCCCAGUAUAUACAUACCAAUGGCAAAUGGCCCAAGUUUGUAUCUUUCAUGAGGUUAAACAGCUUCUCAUGAAAAAUGGAAGAUUUUAUUCGAAUUUUCUUGCAUAUCAAUUAAUCCAAUCAGGAAUAUUAGAAAGAUCCACCAACACAAUGAAUACCAGAUAUAGGUGGAAAAAAAUCGCCUACAUAAUCUUUCAAAAACUCUGCCUGUAGAGAAAAGUCACUAAAUGUGACAAGAAUGUACACAAAUUUACUUAAUUUUAAUAAGGGGAGACCUUCAAUUCCAAGCUCGUGAUUCAUUUUUGGUAAGGAAGGCCUUCAUAUCAAUGUUCGUUGUUCCUUCCACAGAUCAAAAAUCCAUUGAUGCAGAAGAAAUUACAGAUAGUUUUUUUUCUUCUUGUCUUAACCUCAAGGACUAAGACAGACAUCCAAUCUUUAUGGAAAUUUCUCAGUGCUACAGGCCCCAUAGCAACUAAUCAAGGCUUGAUAUUGAGUCUAAUUGUACUUGUACGAUACUUCCAUGUCCAGUUUGAUAGCCGAUAAAAGCAAGAACAAAAUAAAAAUAUAGGAAUUACAUAAUAAAACUAAAUAAAAAAAGAAAAAUGAAAGUUUGGGAUUUGUAUGAGAGUGUACGCUAGGAUGGUGGCAUAUGCGCCUGUCAUGAAGCUAAUGGGUCUCUGCAACUUGUCUCUUAGGGUGAAAUCAUAUUUGUUGGAGGAUUCACUUAUCCCCUCCUCAAUUAAAAUCAUUUUCUUCUCCCCCUCUGCUUCAAACGAUAAAGCUAGAAGGGGCUGUAAAUACAAAUAAAUAAAAUGCAGCAUGUGGACAAGGCUGUAACUAAAAAAUUUGUGAAGCUAGAUUUUUGGAUUUUACUUGAAGUGGCUCUGCCCCUUUUAACAUCCCAACUUCACAUGUAGAGUUAGUUACUCUUGACCGGCUUUUAGUUUAUUAGCUUCUAUUACUGUAUAUAAUUGCUGAAGGAAUUGAAAUUUUCUUGACUGAUGUAUUGAUCAAAACAUUGCUAAUCAACGAAGGCCCUGAAUAGCAGAGAUCAAAUUUGAUGGCUGUAGCAAUUAUGAGUAUUGAUCAAAACAACGUUGAAAAUUUCAUUAACAACUUUGUUAUAUUCAGUAAACCCAAGAGGAAAUUUUUUUGUCCAAGUUUCAAAGUUGGCUGCUCUUGGUGGGUCUAAUGGGGCAAUAUUUCUGGCGUGUUUAGGUACAGAAGAGUGACAUGUAUCAAUUGCUCUUGUUUUCUUUGUUGAGGGGUGAAUAAGGCGUGAAUCGGUCAAGAUUUGGAACUUUCAAAAUGAUCAGAACCACACCUUUUAGUACCCUAAACUCAUCCGGAGAUGUUCCAUUAUUCAAGUUGGUAAAGUUGGUUGAAAAAUGAAUAUACAAGGCAUUGAAUACUGGGGGCACAGAGGGGUGACUUUGACUAAUGAUCUAACUUGGGCAGGUUGGAAGCUUCGCAUGGGACGCACAAUUCCAUGUGGGAGAAGAUGUCCAUGAAGCAGAGGAUUAUAAAGGGGAUCAGAACCAGUUGACUGCUGAAUUCGGGGAGUGAAUUGGACCCUUAACCAGUUCCUGUCAUGAAAUUUUCUCUUCCACGGAUCAACACUCAGGUUUUUUUAUUGUUCCCGGCAAACUCACCAAACCAAGCGCCAGGUAUGUUGGGCUUAUUUUGAUUGGUAUUUUAGUUUUUGAGAAGUUAAAAAGAAAUUCAGGUAAUCCACGACCAAGGUUUGAGUAUAUCGGAAAAAAUCUCGGUUUUGGGUUUUUUUUUUUUCAUCAGGAAUUUUAAGCUCAAUGGUGGGCUGCAGCUACAUUUUAAAGCUAAAUAGAAAAAUAAUUCAAACAUGCAUGUGGAAGGCGCUUCGAAUAGGUGAGCUUGAGCAAUGAAAGGACAGCCUCUUACUAUUGGACCAAAUGUGCUUUGUUGCUAUAACUGUGUUUAAUAUUGCGAAAAUGUACUACCCAAAGAGCCCUUUUUGGGUUUUAUUUUCUUCUAUAUUUUCUAAACAAAGCAUAUUUACAUGAUUUCCCAUACUUAUAUAUAUUUUUUCAAUAAAACAACUUUAAAAUAUUUAUUAUGGUUUCUUAGAAUUUUUUUUUAAUAUUUCCAUGAGUUUGGAUUCAUCCAUCGACAUUUUAUAAAAUACUCAUGAAUAUUUUUUUACAUAUUUAGAUAUAUCUAUAAAAUCAAGUUAUCAAUUUAUCUGUCAAAACCGAUAUUUUCACCCUUAUCCACCACCGCUAAAUAUUUUUGAGUCAAGUUGUAUAUAUAAAAUCCUGGAAUGGAAGAAUUGAGAUUUCCGGCACUUGCUAUUCGGUUGCUCCUGUUUUCUUUGUUAAAUUUUGUAUCAUAACUUGGUUCUCGGAAUUUCAGUUACAUUUGAUUUGAAAAUUAAUACUUUUUGCUUGAAAUUAGGCCCAAGGUCAUCCACACCAGGCAAGUUGGUACUUGAUACUUUCUUUUCAAUCUGCUCCAGUUGGUUGGGAAUUGAAUCUACAGAGCAAUAGAAACCCAGUACAUGCAAGGGUGAAUUUUGACUUGAGACCGAGGAAGAAGCAGUUUCCGAAUUAGUAGAAGAGAGAGAGAGCUCAACUGUUCUUUUCUUUUGGUUGGCGGCCGCAUUCUCAUGAAAUGGCUAAGUCUUUUGUGACAUUAUUCCAAUGGAGGCUGAACUCUGUUCUACUGCAAGAGAAUGAAAUUCUUUUGGCUGUGAAGGAUCAAAUCCUGUCACUCGUUAACAAACUUGAUGAGGUUGGAAGCUUUCUGGGACAUCCUGUUUUUUGGACGCUGCAUGCUCGUGAAAUGGCUGAGUCUUUUCUGAAACUAUUCGAACCAAAGCUGAAAAAGAAAGGAAAUGAUCAAAUGGUGUCACUCAUUAGGCAACUGGAUGAGGUUACCAGAGUUGCAGGAGAUGUGGAGAGAAUCAGGGCAUGCUGCCAAACUUGGGUGAGUGAGUUAAGGGUAAUGCUCCAUGAGGCAGAGGAUUACGUUGACAAUUUCAUAAUUAAGCUGUAUGGGCAUACCGGGCAGGAUCAGAAAGAGUCGAUUGCUGAAUUUGGAAGUGAACUUGAGAAUAUCAACACGCGAGUCUCACAAAUCAUGAACAGAAGGCCUCAACUUGGGGCCUCCCCUAUCUUAGAAGAGAUUCAACAAUUCCUCAGAUCAAGGUUUUCUUUUGAUGAAGAUGAUGAGGAAACUGCUCUGGCCUCUUGCAUGUUAAAUUACAUAAAUCUACCCUAUGACCUUAAACUCUCUUUGCUAUUCUGCCGUGCCUUUCCUGGUUACUAUCGAAAAACAAAAGGUGCAUUAGUUCGAGUUCUGGUAGCAGCAGGUUUAAUACAAGAAAAACCUGGAGAACUGAUGGAGGAAACAGCCCGGGAAAAUAUAGAAAAGUUGGUGGACCUAGGAAUGCUUGAAGAAGAUCAAUCUGAGUGGGAUUGUUUUAGAGUUCCGAGUCCAUACUAUGAGUUAUCUCUGAGUGUAACAGCUCGUCAUGUAUCAAUUCAUGACGCAGAAAACACCAUCACCAACAUGAACAGUCUCCUACAUUCACUGUUUGUUUCUGCAAAGGAUGGCCUUUCAAAGGCCAGCUCAGAUUGUUUGGAAACUGUGUUGUACAAUGCAAAACGUGUGCAAGUGUUGGACUUAGAAAAUACACAACUCAAGAGCUUGCCUGAUGAAGUAGGGAAAUCGGUGAACCUAAGGUAUCUGGGUGUGAGGCAUUCCGAAAUAAAUGAGCUUCCUGAGAGCAUCAGCAAUCUUCGGAACCUACAAACCUUGGAUAUCUCCUGGUCUGGGGAUGAAUUUGAGCUGUCAAAUGGAGUUUUGAAUCUUGCACAACUGAGGCACCUGAAGGUGUUCCGGCCUGUGAAUGAUGGUGAGGUUAGAGUUCCACGAGGUAUCUCAAGACUCAGAAACCUCCAGACUCUAGAAGGUAUAUACGCAGGUGGUGGCAUUGCCAAGGAGUUAGGCAACAUGACACAACUCAGAUCACUCGAAGUGAGAUGUCUUUCAGAUGAUCAUGCAGAUGAGCUAUAUGCUUCUGCCACAAAGUUAACUGGGCUUAGGAACUUGUCUCUUACUGUUGAGGGGAAUGGGAUUGCAUACGACUCCAGUGACUCAGAUGAUAAUGAAUAUUCAGUUUUCCCCUGCUUGGAGACAUUCUCACCUCCGCCACUACUUGAAACACUUGAGCUAGUAGGGUGUUUAACAGAGAUGCCUCUUUGGCUUGGCUCAAUGGAGAACCUCACCAAGUUAUAUCUGUGCUACUCUCAUCUUUCUGAGAACCCAACUACAAUUUUGCAAUUCCUUCCCAAUCUGAAAUAUCUUCUAAUGGGGGGUGCUUACAAAGGGAAGCGUAUGGAAAUAGAGUUUUUCAGAGCUGGAGGAUUCCCUAAAUUGGAGUAUCUCACCAUUGCUUCUGAUGAUCUAGUGGAAUGGACAGAAAUUGAAGAGGGGGCACUGCCUUCCUUAAAACAACUAAGAUUUUCCAACUGCACGAGACUGAUGGUUCUGCCUGAAGGACUGCAACAUGUAACCACACUCCAAAUAUUGGAUUUGUGGAAUGUGCACGAGGAUCUUAUUCGGCGGUUGAGCCCCAAUGGAGGUCCAGAGAAUUAUAAGAUCAAACACAUUCCAGUAGUAAAAUAUCUUGGGCAAAUGAUGUCGCGGGGGUUUUGGACCCAAUGACAAAUUUUAUGAGUUUUAUCAAGUUAUAAUGAUGUUCAAGAUUCAAUCUCAUGGAGAAGUGGCUUCAAAUAAGUAUUAAAAAUAAAUCUAAAUUGUGUAUGGUUAUCUUAACUAUAUUUGAAAAAUUCUUCUGCAACUUGACUUUGAUAAGGGAGACCUUCGAUUCCAAGUCCAUGAUUCCUUAUGUACUCAAUAAUCUGUAGAUGCAAAGAAAUUGCAGUUUUUUUUAGCUUAUUCUUCUUUUAACCUAAAGGACUAAAAGUCUGUUUAGUAAUGAUUUUAGAAAGUGUUUCUAACAUUUUUAACACUUAAAAAUUUUUAUCUUUCAAGUAUUAGUAAGACUAGAAAUGCUUCUAAAAAUCCAAACAUAGGCAUCCAGUACUCCAAGAAGCAUUGCUGCACACCAGUUGCCACACCCCUGAGAGCAACUGAUCAUGGUUUUAUAAACCAUUUGAACAAGACAGAUCACAGCAAUUCCUCGACAUGAUUGCAACAGCAAACACUUCAUAAAAUAGCGUCUUCAUAUUGAGUCAAAACGGAUUGUGUUUGUAUUGUACUUGGUGGGAGGUUGAGUCCCAAUGGAUGUAGGGAUAACUAUAAGAUCAAACACAUCCCUCGAAUUCAAUUCUUUGGACUAGUAAACCCAAAUUGAUUGAACCUGGAUGAAGCUUUGGAAAACAGUUUCUCAUGGAAAAUGAAUAAACAAGGCCACAAAAAUUGAAUACAUACAAGAGUGAAUUUUGAGUUGGAUUUUCUGAGGAAGAGAAAAAAAAAAUACACAGACCUUGAGGGGUUCCACAAGCAAUGAUCUUGUAACCUCUUUCUGAUAGGCAGCUUCUUGAAUCUGUAGAAUAGAGACCCCUGAAUCUUAUUUUCCACCCUGUGAAAUGGCCAGAUCUUUGGCAGCAUCAUUCCAGUGGAAGCUGAAUUCUACUCAACUGCAAGAUAUUGAAAUUCUUUUGGAUGUGAAAGAUCGAAUAGUAUCACUCAUAAGCAAACUCGUUGAAGUUGGUAGGUUUGUGGCAGAUGCGGACAGAAUCUUUAUAGCAGAGAUGUUAGCAUAGUUGGGUGAGGGGGUUGAAGAGAAGCAUUUGUGAAGCAGAGUACUAUGUCGAUGAUUUCAUAGCUCAAGUGUAUGGCCGAAAUCAGCAGGAUCAGAAAGAGAUGAUGGCCAAAUUUAGGAGUGAACUGGAGAAUAUCAAUUCAGGCAUCAUGAACAUCAUGCAUGGAAGGUUUCAACUAUGUUAGAAAUGACAAAACAGGACAGCAGAUCGAAGUUUCAUUUGGAGGAAGGUGAGGAAAUUGUCCAUGCCUCUUCCACAUUAAAUUAUAUAAAUUUUCCUGAUGAUCUUAAAAUCUGUUUGCUCUAUUGAUGUACCUUUAUUGAGGGCCGUACAAUAGCAAAAGAAUGAUUAGUUCGGCUUUUGGUGGCUGGAGGUCUAAUACAAGAAAAACCGGGUACUUGACUGGGGACAAAGCCCAGGAAACCAUAGAAACGUUAUUUGACUUUGAAUCUUAUACAACUAAGACACCUGAAGAUGG
rnacentral:lncRNA from 1 species